rnacentral:rRNA from 1 species
ACGGGUGCGUAACACGUAUGUAACCUACCUUUGUCAGGGGGAUAGCCUCUCGAAAGAGAGAUUAAGCCCGCAUAACAUGAAGAUACAGCAUUGUAAUUUCAUCAAAUAUUUAUAGGACGAAGAUGGGCAUGCGGAACAUUAGCUAGUUGGUAAGGUAAUGGCUUACCAAGGCUACGAUGUUUAGGGGAUCUGAGAGGAUGACCCCCCACACUGGUACUGAGACACGGACCAGACUCCUACGGGAGGCAGCAGUAAGGAAUAUUGGUCAAUGGGCGGAAGCCUGAACCAGCCAUGCCGCGUGCAGGAAGACGGCCCUACGGGUUGUAAACUGCUUUUGUACCGGAAUAAACCACAAGUCGUGAUCUGUGCUGAAUGUACGGUAAGAAUAAGGAUCGGCUAACUCCGUGCCAGCAGCCGCGGUAAUACGGAGGAUCCAAGCGUUAUCCGGAUUUAUUGGGUUUAAAGGGUGCGUAUGCGGCCUGUUAAGUCACGGGUGAAAGACGGUAGCUCAACUAUCGCAGUGCCCUUGAUACUGAUGGGCUUGAAUGUACUAGA